GACUCUCGGCAACGGAUAUCUCGGCUCACGCAUCGAUGACUGAACGCUGGAUUAUGACUGAACGCCU
rnacentral:rRNA from 11 species